rnacentral:rRNA from 1 species
AUUGUACGCUGGCGGCAGGCCUAACACAUGCAAGUCGAACGAGUGGCGGACGGGUGAGUAAUGUCUGGGAAACUGCCCGAUGGAGGGGGAUAACUACUGGAAACGGUAGCUAAUACCGCAUACCAUCGGAUGUGCCCAGAUGGGGUUAGCUAUUAGGGGGGGUAACGGCUCACCUAGGCGACGAUCCCUAGCUGGUCUGAGAGGAUGACCAGCCAAACUGGAACGACGCCACGGUCCAGACUCCUGCGGGAGGCAGCAGUGGGGAAUGUUGCACAAUGGGCGCAAGCCUGAUGCAGCCAUGCCGCGUGUAUGAAGAAGGCCGUCGGGUUGGAAAAUACUUUCAGCGAGGAGGCGUUACUCGCAGAAGAAGCACCGGCUAACUCCGUGCCAGCAGCCGCGGUAAUAC